UGCAGUCGAACGGAAAGGCCCUUCGGGGUACUCGAGUGGCGAACGGGUGAGUAACACGUGGGUGAUCUGCCCUGCACUUCGGGAUAAGCCUGGGAAACUGGGUCUAAUACCGGAUAUACCUCAUGGGAUGCAUGUUUUGUGGGGGAAAGCUUUUGCGGUGUGGGAUGGGCCCGCGGCCUAUCAGCUUGUUGGUGGGGUGAUGGCCUACCAAGGCGACGACGGGUAGCCGGCCUGAGAGGGUGUCCGGCCACACUGGGACUGAGAUACGGCCCAGACUCCUACGGGAGGCAGCAGUGGGGAAUAUUGCACAAUGGGCGCAAGCCUGAUGCAGCGACGCCGCGUGGGGGAUGACGGCCUUCGGGUUGUAAACCCCUUUCAGCACAGACGAAGCGCAAGUGACGGUAUGUGCAGAAGAAGCACCGGCCAACUACGUGCCAGCAGCCGCGGUAAUACGUAGGGUGCGAGCGUUGUCCGGAAUUACUGGGCGUAAAGAGCUCGUAGGUGGUUUGUCGCGUUGUUCGUGAAAACUCACAGCUUAACUGUGGGCGUGCGGGCGAUACGGGCAGACUGGAGUACUGCAGGGGAGACUGGAAUUCCUGGUGUAGCGGUGGAAUGCGCAGAUAUCAGGAGGAACACCGGUGGCGAAGGCGGGUCUCUGGGCAGUAACUGACGCUGAGGAGCGAAAGCGUGGGGAGCGAACAGGAUUAGAUACCCUGGUAGUCCACGCCGUAAACGGUGGGUACUAGGUGUGGGUUUCCUUCCUUGGGAUCCGUGCCGUAGCUAACGCAUUAAGUACCCCGCCUGGGGAGUACGGCCGCAAGGCUAAAACUCAAGGAAUUGACGG
rnacentral:rRNA from 1 species